rnacentral:rRNA from 1 species
AAUGGGCGCAAGCCUGAUCCAGCCAUCCCGCGUGCUUGAUGAAGGCCCUCUGGGUUGUAAAGAGCUUUAGUCUGGGAAGAAACCGUUUUCUGCGGAAGACGCUGACGGUACCAGAAGAAUAAGCACCGGCUAACUCCGUGCCAGCAGCCGCGGUAAUACGGAGGGUGCAAGCGUUAUCCGGAAUCACUGGGUUUAAAGGGUGCGUAGGCGGUCUGAUAAGUCAGAGGUGAAAGCCUGCAGCUUAACUGUAGAAUUGCCUUUGAUACUGUCAGACUUGAAUGGGGUCGAGGUCGGCGGAAUGUGGCAUGUAGCGGUGAAAUGCAUAGAUAUGCCAUAGAACACCAAUUGCGAAGGCAGCUGACUAGGCCUGUAUUGACGCUGAGGCACGAAAGCGUGGGGAGCAAA